rnacentral:rRNA from 1 species
UACAGAGGUCCCAAGCGUUGUUCGGAUUCACUGGGCGUAAAGGGUGCGUAGGCGGUCGGGUAAGUCUGAUGUGAAAUCCCUCGGCUUAACCGGGGAACUGCGUCUGAUACUGGAUGGCUUGAGUUUGGGAGAGGGAUGCGGAAUUCCAGGUGUAGCGGUGAAAUGCGUAGAUAUCUGGAGGAACACCGGUGGCGAAGGCGGCAUCCUGGACCAACACUGACACUGAGGAGCGAAAGCCAGGGGAGCAAACGGG